UGCCCCAAUGAAGAACUUUCAAAAAUAUAAACGUUAAAAGUAGUGAACUGAUUUCCAAUACAUUGAUGUAUAUUUCAAUCCGAGGGGUU